rnacentral:rRNA from 1 species
UAAGCAUAUCAAUAAGCGGAGGAAAAGAAACCAACAGGGAUUGCCCUAGUAACGGCGAGUGAAGCGGCAACAGCUCAAAUUUGAAAUCUGGCGCAAGCCCGAGUUGUAAUUUGUAGAGGAUGUUUCUGGCGACGUGCCUUCCGAGUUCCCUGGAACGGGACGCCAUAGAGGGUGAGAGCCCCGUACGGUUGGAUGCCUAGCCUCUGUGAAACUCCUUCGACGAGUCGAGUAGUUUGGGAAUGCUGCUCUAAAUGGGAGGUAUACGUCUUCUAAAGCUAAAUACCGGCCAGAGACCGAUAGCGCACAAGUAGAGUGAUCGAAAGAUGAAAAGCACUUUGAAAAGAGGGUUAAAAAGUACGUGAAAUUGUUGAAAGGGAAGCGUUCAUGACCAGACUUGGGCAGGUUGAUCAUCCGUGGUUCUCCGCGGUGCACUCUGCCUGCCCAGGCCAGCAUCAGUUCGCCCCGGGGGAUAAAGGCUUUGGGAAUGUGGCUCCCUCGGGAGUGUUAUAGCCCACUGUGUAAUACCCUGGGGUGGACUGAGGUUCGCGCUCUGCAAGGAUGCUGGCGUAAUGGUCAUCAACGACCCGUCUUGAAACACGGACCAAGGAGUCGUCUUCGUAUGCGAGUGUUCGGGUGUCAAACCCCUACGCGUAAUGAAAGUGAACGUAGGAGAGAGCUUCGGCGCAUCUCCGACCGAUCCUGAUGUUCUCGGAUGGAUUUGAGUAAGAGCAUACGGGGCCGGACCCGAAAGAAGGUGAACUAUGCCUGUAUAGGGUGAAGCCAGAGGAAACUCUGGUGGAGGCUCGCAGCGGUUCUGACGUGCAAAUCGAUCGUCAAAUAUGGGCAUGGGGGCGAAAGACUAAUCGAACCUUCUAGUAGCUGGUUUCCGCUGAAG